GGCAGGAUAUAAGAGUGAUGUGAUCACUAAGUCAAUGAGGAGACAAAGAUCAAGAACUGUUGCAUUAUUAUCAUAGAUUGCCAGUUUAAAUGUGAAAGAAACAUGAAUUUAAAGGUGCAGACUCUACAGAAGUACCUGCUUAUCAGAAUCAAUUACUGUUCCCAAUUACAAUUUGAUAUUGGCAGUUGAUUGGAAAAUGCAUGUUUUUACAGAGAUACUUCAUGUGCUGGUAGCACAUAGUUAAAUUGGGUAUAAACUGUUGAGAAGUAUACAGGUGUGGGUUAAGCUUAAUUUGGCCAAUGCUUCAUAGCUCUUGCCUGUCUUUCAUCCUUACAGUUUCCCUAGUAUUAUGUUCUUGUUCUUCCAUGUCAAUUAAAUAAAAAUGAUUAUGUGAUGCCGGUGAGUGAAAUUUGCAACAUUCUUGC
rnacentral:misc_RNA from 1 species